CCUGCUCAAUGAAUCUUAAAUAGCCGCUAUUUAGUGCUAAGGUAGCACAAUCACUUGUCUUUUAAUUUUAGAAUAGAAUGAAGGGAUAAACGAGUUAAAAACUUUAUUUAAUUUACUUUAUUAAACUUAUUUAAAAGUAAAAAAGCUUUUAUUAUUUGAUCAGACGACAAGACCCUUUAGAACUUUACUUAAAGUUUGGCUGGGGUGGCUAUUAUUACUUAUAAAAACUAUCAAAUAAUCAUAAACAUCCACCGCUAAAAUAUAACAAGUUACCUAAGGGAUAACAGAACAAUAUUAUUUUAAAGUACUUAUAAUAAAUAAUUAUUGUUACCUCGAUGUUGAAUUACUUUUCUCUUAAAAGAAAAUUUUUAAAAAGUAAGUCUGUUCGACUUUUAAUAAAGUACAU
rnacentral:rRNA from 1 species